AUUGAACGCUGGCGGCAGGCCUAACACAUGCAAGUCGAGCGGAUGAGUGGAGCUUGCUCCAUGAUUCAGCGGCGGACGGGUGAGUAAUGCCUAGGAAUCUGCCUGGUAGUGGGGGACAACGUUUCGAAAGGAACGCUAAUACCGCAUACGUCCUACGGGAGAAAGCAGGGGACCUUCGGGCCUUGCGCUAUCAGAUGAGCCUAGGUCGGAUUAGCCAGUAGGUGAGGUAAUGGCUCACCUAGGCGACGAUCCGUAACUGGUCUGAGAGGAGGAUCAGUCACACUGGAACUGAGGCACGUUCCAGACUCCUACGGGAGGCAGCAGUGGGGAAUAUUGGACAAUGGGCGAAAGCUUGAUCCAGCCAUGCCGCGUGUGUGAAGAAGGUCUUCAGAUUGUAAAGCACUUUAAGUUGGGAGGAAGGGAAGUAAGUUAAUACCUUGCUGUUUUGACGUUACCAACAGAAUAAGCACCGGCUAACUUCGUGCCAGCAGCCGCCGUAACAC
rnacentral:rRNA from 1 species